rnacentral:rRNA from 1 species
GACGAACGCUGGCGGCGUGCUUAACACAUGCAAGUCGAACGGAAAGGCCCUGCUUUUGUGGGGUGCUCGAGUGGCGAACGGGUGAGUAACACGUGAGUAACCUGCCCUUGACUUUGGGAUAACUUCAGGAAACUGGGGCUAAUACCGGAUAGGAGCUCCUGCUGCAUGGUGGGGGUUGGAAAGUUUCGGCGGUUGGGGAUGGACUCGCGGCUUAUCAGCUUGUUGGUGGGGUAGUGGCUUACCAAGGCUUUGACGGGUAGCCGGCCUGAGAGGGUGACCGGCCACAUUGGGACUGAGAUACGGCCCAGACUCCUACGGGAGGCAGCAGUGGGGAAUAUUGCACAAUGGGCGGAAGCCUGAUGCAGCAACGCCGCGUGCGGGAUGACGGCCUUCGGGUUGUAAACCGCUUUCGCCUGUGACGAAGCGUGAGUGACGGUAAUGGGUAAAGAAGCACCGGCUAACUACGUGCCAGCAGCCGCGGUGAUACGUAGGGUGCGAGCGUUGUCCGGAUUUAUUGGGCGUAAAGGGCUCGUAGGUGGUUGAUCGCGUCGGAAGUGUAAUCUUGGGACUUAACCCUGAGCGUGCUUUCGAUACGGGUUGACUUGAGGAAGGUAGGGGAGAAUGGAAUUCCUGGUGGAGCGGUGGAAUGCGCAGAUAUCAGGAGGAACACCAGUGGCGAAGGCGGUUCUCUGGGCCUUUCCUGACGCUGAGGAGCGAAAGCGUGGGGAGCGAACAGGCUUAGAUACCCUGGUAGUCCACGCUGUAAACGGUGGGUACUAGGUGUGGGGUCCAUUCCACGGGUUCCGUGCCGUAGCUAACGCUUUAAGUACCCCGCCUGGGGAGUACGGCCGCAAGGCUAAAACUCAAAGGAAUUGACGGGGCCCCGCACAAGCGGCGGAGCAUGCGGAUUAAUUCGAUGCAACGCGUAGAACCUUACCUGGGUUUGACAUGGAUCGGGAGCGCUCAGAGAUGGGUGUGCCUCUUUUGGGGUCGGUUCACAGGUGGUGCAUGGCUGUCGUCAGCUCGUGUCGUGAGAUGUUGGGUUAAGUCCCGCAACGAGCGCAACCCUUGUUCACUGUUGCCAGCACGUUAUGGUGGGGACUCAGUGGAGACCGCCGGGGUCAACUCGGAGGAAGGUGGGGAUGACGUCAAGUCAUCAUGCCCCUUAUGUCCAGGGCUUCACGCAUGCUACAAUGGCUGGUACAGAGAGUGGCGAGCCUGUGAGGGUGAGCGAAUCUCGGAAAGCCGGUCUCAGUUCGGAUUGGGGUCUGCAACUCGACCUCAUGAAGUCGGAGUCGCUAGUAAUCGCAGAUCAGCAACGCUGCGGUGAAUACGUUCCCGGGGCU